rnacentral:lncRNA from 1 species
AUCCAGUAAAAACAUCUCACCAAAAUUACAAUAAUAAAAAAAAUCUCAAUAUAAAUUAUGGACUGCACAAUUCAUUUUUCUCCCUUCUUGGCAGUAAAUUUGGUCACUUUAGCUUAAUACUAAGACUAACAGCAACAGUAUGGCGCAUGUCCCUAAUAAAAAAUCAAACCCAAUGAAGGAUAUUCAAAGAAGGUUUCCACCAGCAUGAACUUAAUUGGAAUCAUUUUCAUGAAUCCAAGAUCACCCCUUGUUCACGAUUUCAUCAUACCUAGAAUUGGAGUAUUUGGAUGCUGUAGAUACUAUCUGCAAAUAUGAAAAAAAAAUAUUC